GUUAGGGAUAUAGUAGAUAUGCCCUAGAUCUAAUAUCAUAUUUGAUAACUUGAAUAUAUUUUUGUGAAUGUCAUUUGAUAUAAAAUAUAUGGCAUUUGAUAUUAUUUUGUCAUUAUUAUCAAUUGUUUGAUUAUUUUGAUAAGGUCCUUGAUUAAAUUUUGAGAUUUGUCAUCGUGAUAGAGAUCAUGAUAAUGAGAGCAAAGUCUUU
rnacentral:lncRNA from 1 species